rnacentral:rRNA from 1 species
UACGUAGGGGGCUAGCGUUGUCCGGAUUUAUUGGGCGUAAAGAGCGUGUAGGCGGCCAGGUAGGUCUGCUGUGAAAACUCGAGGCUCAACCUCGAGACGCCGGUGGAAACCAUCUAGCUAGAGUCCGGAAGAGGAGAGUGGAAUUCCUGGUGUAGCGGUGAAAUGCGCAGAUAUCAGGAAGAACACCCGUGGCUAAGGCGGCUCUCUAGUACGGUACUGACGCUGAGACGCGAAAGCGUGGGGAGCGAACAGG